rnacentral:lncRNA from 1 species
GAUGGCGGAGUGUGUGUCCUGGCCAUGAGACACAGCCUUGCUCUGUUGCCCAAGCUGGGGUACAGUGGUAUGAUCAUAGCUCACUGCCACCUUGAACUCCUGAGAUCAAGCGAUCCUCCUGCCUCGGCUUCCAACUAGCUAGAACUACACACUUGUCACCCCAUAUGGCUAAUUUUUAAUUUUUUUUUUAAGAGCCGGGGUCUUGUUAUGUUGCCCAGGCUGGUCUUGAGCUCCUGGUCUCAAGUGAUUCUCCUGCUUCAGCCUCCCAAAGUGCUGGGAUUAUAGGUGUGAACCACUGCUCCUAGCUUUCAUCAGUUUCUUGAAGUCCAGAUCAUCCAUAAAACAAUAAAUCAAGCCCUGCUUUGUGGUGUUUGCUGAUUUCCACGGUGUAAAGACUUCUACUAUGGCCAGUUUAAAACAACAUGAUGUCACUAACCCUGAAGUGGGGAAGAGAUGCACAGGAGCACACAAGCACAUACUAUUUUCACUAUAAAGUUACAAUAGAUAUAAAUAACCCCAAGAGCACGGAUCAUAGGAGAAUAAUUAGAAAGUGAUGAUUUUUAAGAAUUACUAACUUUUGUUUUUAAUAUAAUUUAUUUGAUUGUAAAUUUAUAUGAUUUGAUUUUUAAUGGUAGAUGUAUUUAACAACCCACUGACACUUUUUUUUUUUUGGAAAAUUGAACUAUUGACCUUUGCAAGCUGGUAUGAACGACCUCCAGCAUAGACACUGAAUGGGAUAAAAUAAUGCAAGACCUAAUACAUUUUAGUUACUCAAAAUAAUUUAGCUAUUAUUGUUAGUAGUAGUAGUAGUGAUAGUGAUACUACAUAAGUAGUAUUUUAACACUACUUCUUACCCACUAAGAGAUAUCUGCCCUGUAACAUGUUGAUUUAGUCACAAAUUGUGACUAAUUUUCUUCAUUUGUGAAAUGGAGUUCACAAUCCUGUCUCUAUUUCCUAGAAGUCUCAGUGAAAUGUAUGGAAACACUUUGGGAAUGCUAUGUGUCUGGAAACUGGGUAGGGCCAGGUAAAGCCACAGAGACAGCAGCAAGUAUAGGCAGCUUAUACUUGUGAUGUGUGUGUGUAUGUGUGUACAAAUACUUUUAAGAUAUUGAGAUAAAAUGUCAAACACUGGAGUGCACACAUCUGAAGUCUACAAUUUGGGCUUUGACAAGUGUGUGACUGAUAACAUUUCCAUCACUGUAGGGGGUUCCCUAAUGCCCUUUUCCAGUUCAGUCCUUCCACUCCCACCAUAGGCUAUGAAUGUUCUUAUUUUUGUCAACAUAGAUCCAUUUUGUCUGUUUUUGAACUUAAUAUACAAUCAUCCAUCAUUUAACAACGGAGAAUUGCUCUGAGCAAUACAUUGGUAGGUGAUUUUGUUAUUGCGUGAACAUUACAGAGUGUACUUACACAAACCUGUAUGGUAUAGCCUACUACAUACACACCUAGGCUAUCUGGUAUAGCCUAUUGCUUCUAGGUUACAAACAUGUAGUGCACGUAUACUGUACUGAAUGCCACAGGCAAUUGUAACAUAGUGGUAUUUGUGCAUCCAAACAUAGCUAAAUAUAGGAAAGGUACAGUGAAAAUAUGAAAUAAUCUUACGAAACCAUCAUCAUUGACUGAGACAUCAUUAUACAGUGCAUGACUGUAAAUGCAGUCAUACAUGUGUAAUCUUUUAUGUCUGGCUUAGUUUGCCCAACAUUAUGUUAUUGAAUCCAUCCAUAUUUAGCAUGUAUCAGUAGUUCUUUAGUUUUGCUUGCUGAGUAUCCCACUUGUAAUUCACUUAUUAAUGGACAUUGGGGUGGUUUCCAGUUUGGGGCUAUUAUAACUAAAAUUUCUAUGAGCAUUCUUACACAUGUAUUUGGGGGACCACAUAUAUUUUCAUCUCCUUUGGGUAAAUACUACCUACGAGUAGAAUUGCUUGGUCAUUGGUAAGAUUUACUUCAGACACCUACCUAGGGUGGUUGUACUAAUUUAUAUACCCACUAUCAAUGUGUGGGACUUCUGGCUGCUCCAGAUUUCUGCCAAUAUUUAGUGUUGUCAGUGUUUUUAAUUUUAGUUAUUAUCGUGGGUGUGUAGAAGUAUCUCAUGUGGUUAUAAUUUGUAUUUCCUUGAAGACCAAUAACAUUGAGCAAUUUUUUGCAAGUGUAUUCUAUGACAUUUACAUAUGUUCCUUCAUUAAGUGCCUAUUCAAAUUUGUGCUUAUUGUUUAUUGAAUUGUUAAUAUCUGUUAUUAUUGAGUUGUAGGACUUCCUUAUAUAUCAUAAUUUUUAGCCUUUCAUCAAGGAUUUGUUUUGCAAAUAUUUUCUCCCAGACCAUGGCUUGCCUAUUAAUAUUAUUAACAAGACCUUUUGAUGACCAUUUAAAAAAGUUGAUGGAUUCUAAGUUAUUAUUUUUUCUCUAUUGUUAUUGUUGUUUAUAUCUUAUCUAAUGAAUUUUUGCCUACCCCCCAGGUAGUGAAGAUAGUCUUCUGUGCUUUUUUUCUACAUUUUUAUAGUUUUAGCUUUUACAUUUAAGUCUAUGAUCUAUCUCAAUUUGUGUACGGUGUGAGGUAGGGGUUAAAGUUCCCUUUCCACCUUCUAUUUAUACAGUUGUUUCAGCACUAUUUGUUGAGAAAACUUCUUUCUUUAAGUUGCCUGGAUGACUUUCUUGAGAAUCAAAUGAUUGUAUAUGUGUGAAUCUUCUUCUGGUCUCUCUAUUCUAUUCUAUUGAUCAAUUUUUCUAUACUUUUCAUUACUAUACUAUUUUGGUUAUUAUGGCUUUAUAGGAAAUCUUGAAAUCAAAUCAUAUGAAUGCUUCAAUUUUGUCUUUUUUCUCUCUCAAAAUUGUUUUGGCUAUUCAAGCUCCUUUGAAUUUUGAUGUAAAUUUAGGAAUCAACUUGUAAAUCUAUACAAAAAUAAACUUUCUGGGAUUUUGAUUGAGACUGUCUUGAAUAUUUAUAUUAAUUCUGGGACAAUGGACAUCUUAACAACAUUGAGCUUUCAAUCUAUGAACAUGGUAUAUCUAUUUAUUGAGGCCUGAUUUCAUUCCCCACAGCAAAGUUUUUUAGUUUUUGGUGUGGAGUUUUGUUCAUAUGUUGUUACAUUUAUUCCUUAUUAUGUUUUAUAUAUUAUGGCAAUGGUAUAAUUUUUAAAUUUAUUUACAAUAGUAGUAUUUUAUUUACUAUUAUAUACAAAUAUAAUUGUUUUUUGUAUAUUAACCUUGUUUCCUGCAAUCUUAUUCAAUCCACCUCUUAGUUUGAAUAGUAUUUUUGGUAGGUUGCUUAGGAUUUUUCUAUCUAAACAAUCAUUGUCUAAGGCAGCUCAGGCUGUCAAAACAAAAUACCAUAAACUGGGUGGCUCAAACAACAGACAUUGGCUGGGUGCCAUGGCUCAGGCCUGUAAGGCCAGCACUUUGGGAGGCCAAGGUGAGUGGAUCACCUGAGGUCAGGAGUUCAAGGCUAGCCUGGUCAACAUGUUGAAACCCUGUCUCUACUAAAAAUGCAAAAAUUAGCCAGGCAUGGUGGUGCACCUCUAUAAUCCCAGCUACUCAAGAAGCUGAGUGGGAGAAUUGCUUGAACCUGGCAGGCAGAGGUUGCAGUGAGCCAAGAUGGUGCCACUGCCUUCCAGCCUGGGCAACAGAGCAAGACUCCGUCAAACAAAAACAAAAACAAAAACAAGAAAACCUAGACAUUUAUUUCUCAGUUCUGGAGGCUGGUAACUGUAUCACCAGAUUUGGUUCUUGGUGAGGGCCCUCUUUCUGGCUUGCAAAUGACUACCUUCUCUUUGUAGCUUCACAUGGCAGAGAGAGGACACUGAUAUUUCUUCCUCUAAGAAGUGGUGGCAGUACUUAUAUGGGUACUAAUCCCAUCAUAAGGGCUUCACCGUCCUGAGCUCAUCUAAAUCUAAUUACCUCACAAAAGUCUCACCUCCUAAUACUAUCACAUUGGGGGGUUGAAGCUUCAACAUAGCCUCCUCCUCCUGAGGAGGAGACAUAAAUAUUUAGUCAAUAAUAAUAAUGUAAUCUAGAAAUAAAUGUAACUAUUUCUUCUUGAUAUUUAUGGCUUUCAAUUAGUUUUCCUCUUCUUUAAAAAAAAAUGUUUUUUAAGCCUACAGCACCCGGUAUUCCCUUGAAGUCUCCCAUCCAAGCACUAACCAGGCCUGACCCUGCUUAGGUUCAUAAGAUCAGAUGAGAUAGGGCAUAUUC